rnacentral:tRNA from 1 species
UCCCAGCUGGCUCAAUGGUAAAGAAUCUGCCUGCAAUGCAGGAGACUCAGGUUCAGUUCCUGGGUCACGAA